rnacentral:rRNA from 1 species
AUACGGAGGGUGCAAGCGUUGUCCGGAUUUAUUGGGUUUAAAGGGUGCGUAGGUGACGUGUUAAGUCAGUGGUGAAAGCCUGCAGCUCAACUGUAGAGGUGCCAUUGAUACUGACAUGCUUGAGUAUGGACGAGGUAGGCGGAAUUUGUGGUGUAGCGGUGAAAUGCAUAGAUACCACAAAGAACACCGAUAGCGAAGGCAGCUUACUGGACCAUAACUGACACUGAGGCACGAAAGUGUGGGUAGCGAACAGGAUUAGAUACCCUAGUAGUCC